UGCGCCAAGGAACUCAAACCUGUUAAGUGCGACUCCCGGGGGCCCGGAGACGGUGUCCCGCGGGAGCCGUCACGACACAACAUUUACAUACAAUGACUCUCGGCAACGGAUAUCUCGGCUCUUGCAUCGAUGAAGAACGUAGCGAAAUGCGAUACUUGGUGUGAAUUGCAGAAUCCCGUGAACCAUCGAGUCUUUGAACGCAAGUUGCGCCCGAAGCCAUUAGGCCGAGGGCACGCCUGCCUGGGUGUCACACAUCGUUUCCCCAACGCAAACAUGUAACAAUGUUGCUGCGCGGGGUGUAUGCUGACCUCCCGCGAGCACCCGCCUCGUGGUUGGUUGAAAUCUGGGUUCAUGGCCGACUUCGCCGUGAUAAAAUGGUGGAUGAGCCACGCUCGAGACCAAUCACGUGCGAGCCGGUCAGUUCUGGACCCAUCGACGACCCUUUGCGUGCACGCACGCUCCCAACGAGACCUCAGGACAGGCGGGGCUACCCGCUGAG
rnacentral:rRNA from 1 species